ensembl:lncRNA
AAUAAUCUUUUAGAAGGGCCCCAUCUAUUAAUUUUGCCUAGGGCCCCCACUUCAUCUUUGUUCGCCUCUGGGUGUGACAGAACAGGUCAGAACAGGCUUUUGCUUCUUUCACUUUUGAAACAGGCUUUUUUUGCGUUAGAUCCUCUCAUGUACAAAAUGUUUUUAUUUUGAGAUUUUCAAACAGUUGAUAUUUUAUUGCUUCAUUUCAUGUUUUGUUCAUUCUCUGCAGUAUGGCCAGGAGACCAACAGGUCAGUAAAUUCAACUUUCUACAUUAUUUAAAAUAUUUGUAAGAACAAUAUAUAAUAUAAAUAAUAUAACUAUAUAAUUGUAUAUGUGUGUGUGUGUGUGUGUGUGUGUGUGUGUGUGUGUGUGUGUGUGUAUAUAUAUAUAUAUAUAUGUUAAAUGACACUUUGAAACAUUAAGGAGAUAAAUCAGUGUAUAAAUUUUAGGGUUAAAUGUAGAAAUCUGGCUGUCGUCACACUGUUUUAUUUUCUUAUUACUCCUCUCUUGAAUAAUGAUGACGAAGCUGGCUGCUCUAGAGGAUCCAAUGAUCAGCUGAGGUUUAUGGUGCUUGGAGGUGAUGAUGAUCUUAUGGAUAAAGCAUGUGGCACAAUCCUGGGAGAAAGAAGGAACAGGGAUGCAUUUAAAUUUGGAGAAUUGAAGCCCAGGAAGGCUCGAGUUUGUGGACGACAGGUUUCUGUAUUAAAAACUCCGUCAUAUUGGCUGGAACACUUGGAAUCAUACUUCAUUCUCAGCAAUGGAGUUAAAUCUCUGAAAAUUGACCUGCAGUACUUUGAAUUGCUGUUGUUUCCAGGGCCUCAUGCCUUUCUGUUAGUACACAGAGAUGUGAAAAACUCUGGUAGUGAGUAUUAUCUUAUAAAAGCUCUCAGCGAUGUGUUCGGGAAUGAGGUCUUGGACUACUGCAUGGUAUUAUUUAUAGAUGAGGCUAGGCACAAUGAUCCAAUAAAGAACACCUGUUUGAAGAUGUGUGGAGGCAGAUACCACAUCUUACAGAACACUGACGAAAGUCUUAAUCUGUUAUUUAAAAAAACAGAGGCAAUGACACAGUGGAAAAGCAGCAAUUGUUUCACAAAUAAUUGGGAAAUUUUCAGAAUAGCUGAAAAUUAUUUUGAAGUGGAGUAUAAGAAAGAGGAGAAUAAACUGAGGAAAGAAUUGGCAGAAAAUAAACAAAUUGUUGAAAAUCUAAAGAAGGAAAUUGAUGAUAUGAAAGAAUUAGAUUCAAAGAAAGAUACAAGAAUCAAGGAUGAGCUAAAUAAACUGGCUGAGUCAAAAGACAGAGUAAAAAAGCUACCGAGUGAGUUGGAUGCUCUCAAAACCCAGAUGAAGGAGAAGCUAAAACAAGAGAUAAUCAUUCACAAAGACAGAGAAAAACAGCUACGCAGUGAGUUGGAUGCUCUCAAAAGCAGUGAAAACCAGAAGGAGGAGGACUUACAGAAGCUAAAACAAGAGCUGACCGUUUACAAAGACAAAGAGAGACACUUAAAAGAUGAAAGAAUUAAACUUCAGAGAGACAAAGAGAAACUUCAGAGAGAAGUGGAACAGCUCAAGGACAAUAAAAAACAGUAAUCUGACCACAACAAAAGUUAAAGAACCGUUUCUAUCUUUCAAAUUACAAUCAGAAUAUGAUAUGAUCCAGAGAGAGGAAGAAGUACAAGUCAAAGAAAAAUGAGCUGCGUGAGAAAGAGAGAGAAAUGGAUAGAAGAGUCAAGGAAUUGGAUAAAAGAGAGAGAAAUCUGGAUGAAUGAGAGAAGCAGCUGGAGAUCAGAGAGAGAGAGAAGUGAAACAGAAAUCCUGGAUCUAGUGAACACUGAAGGAGUGGAAUCCUGGAUUCAUCACGGCCUUCAUAAAAUAUAUUAAUUAUCCUUUUUCGUGAUUAUUGAUCAAGUUAUUAAUCAGUAUUUAGCCUCAUAGAUUGUUAGUUGAUUGAAUAAAAUUAUUAUUUACCAUACA